ACCUGGAUGACGAGUCCCAAACAGGACGAAGACUGAGUCCUAGAU
rnacentral:hammerhead_ribozyme from 1 species